UUUUGACCUGAUAGGAAGGGGAUAUAAUGGAUUUAAAAGGAAAAAAAUUAACUGCAUAACUAAGGAUGAGAAGUGUCAAUCCACAGAAGUCAAUGGAACAUGAGAAAUCCUCCCAUGGCUGUAAAAAAAUCUCGUUGACUUAGGUAUUCUUAAUGAGCACAUUAGGUGACCAGCCAAUAAAUUCCUUAUAAAGUUAAUAUAUAUAUCAAUAUAUCAUAAAGUGGAAUAGAUGGGGAAGGGAUAUCUGUGUUCAACUGCCACUGGCUCAGUUCGUGGCCUCUGUGAGUCACUUGGCCCUUCUGCCUCAGUCUCUCUGUUUCUAAAACACCAAUACCUCAGCCAAGCACUUCCAAACCAAGGUACAGAGUAUUGUUUUAUCAUGGAAUAGCCAAGGAGGACAGUGGCUCUGCCACAGUGAGAAUGAGAACCAGCAGACCCAAAUUCAACCAGCCACCACAGGAGUUACGGCCAUAAAUCGAUUGCUCCCAAGGAGGAGCUUUGUGACACCGUAACUGUCACGGCAGCAGCUCCACAACUGUGACAUGAGCCCUUUGCUCAGCCUGUACCACAAGAAGCCCCUGGCAAACCCAACUGCAGCAGCAAAGAACAGAAGCACCCCAAACCCACUAAAAUUCGAGGCUGUCUACGAGAAAAUCUUCCCCACGUGCUUUUACGGUCACGGGCUAACGCCGUCAGGCACAACACAAAAAUAAAUGUGUUUCUCAGAGUAACAAGAUGAAAUUUUCAGUUGGUCAGCAACUGCUUCUCGCUGUGGAACCACAUGACUGCCCCAACACAUAAGAACAUUUUAUCUGCCAGCUUGCAAAGAAGACCACGUAGUUAAUAGUUUGCAACCUCCUUUCCUCCAGAAGGUCUUCAGAGAUAGCAUUCCUGUAGCCCAGCUGGCAGCCUGCACUCCACAAUGUCGUCUAGACCUGCUCCCAACAGUGGGAUGACACAGGAGGAAAAACGCUGAUGCCUGUUCUGGUGCGAAGGGGAGGAAGCACAGGCUGAGUGAAACACGAGUUCCUCGUUCCCAGCCUCAUGCCCAGGCUCGUCGGGUAAUUCUGUCAACCAGACACAAAAAGUUGUGGCCGUCGUGGGGGUGAAGAAUAAUCCUCACAAAAAGGGGGAAAAGCGCUUUCCCAAACCCCCGUUUUCACCUGCAGAAUCAAACCCUGCCCUUUCCGAGCCCGCUGCUCUCAGGACCUGCAGACAACAAACACAUCCCUGCACAGAUAACAUUUUCCAU